UUUAUCCUGUGACAGCGUGUCAAAAGGGGAAGUAAGAAAGGCUUUUAUCAGAAAGGCUUUCUUGCAGAAAUUCGGAAGUCAUUUUGCUGAAAGAACUCGGAGGAGUGCUUGAUGACGCCAUUGAUCCUUCUGAGAUGGAAUCUAAAAAUAACAGAAAUGAAUCAAUCCAUAUGGCUUGCAAGAAUAACAUCUGGCUCACAACAGAAACUAAAUCAUUCAUGAUUUAGAAACUGGACUGAACAAGCAAAACGGAAAGCUCGAGACAGUGUUUACAAUGUGAUGCAUUGGUUGCAUCAACAAUACUUCCGGCAGAACCUAGUACCAUUUUUUGGAAAAUGCUGAAUGUAUUUUACAAGUCAAGUAAGAGGCAUAAAUAGUAGGCCUGCUAGGAAGUGUUUCUGUUGUCAUAAGUGUGCACUUGUGAAUGUAAGCACAGGUGCUUCCUCAACACCUCUCCCUCUACAGACUGUGGUCUUUGUCCACAGUGUGCUUAGAUGGUGAAUUCUUAGAGGGAGUUGGUGUGCCAUGCAAAGAAAAAAAAAAGAACGUGUCCAUUUUUUGUCUUUUAUUUAUUUAUUUAUUUAUUUUAACACAUUGAAGGUUCUCACCCAGCUCUACAUGCUGCAAUUUAAUUUAAUUUUUCAAAUUAAACAAGUGGUGCGGUGAGUUUCACUGUCACCUCGCAGCAA